CCUACGGGAGGCAGCAGUCGGGAAUAUUGCACAAUGGGGGAAACCCUGAUGCAGCGACGCCGCGUGAGUGAAGAAGUAUUUCGGUACGUAAAGCUCUAUCAGCAGGGAAGAAAAUGACGGUACCUGACUAAGAAGCCCCGGCUAACUACGUGCCAGCAGCCGCGGUAAUACGUAGGGGGCAAGCGUUAUCCGGAUUUACUGGGUGUAAAGGGAGCGUAGACGGCAGCGAAAGUCUGGAGUGAAAUCCCAUGGCUUAACCAUGGAACUGCUUUGGAAACUGUGCAGCUAGAGUGCAGGAGAGGUAAGCGGAAUUCCUAGUGUAGCGGUGAAAUGCGUAGAUAUUAGGAGGAACACCAGUGGCGAAGGCGGCUUACUGGACUGUAACUGACGUUGAGGCUCGAAAGCGUGGGGAGCAAACAGGAUUAGAUACCCCUGUAGUC
rnacentral:rRNA from 1 species